AAAAGUCUAGCUAGCCUUAUAACUUACAUUUUGACUCUCACCCAUAUACUAUGACUUGUAUCAAACAAAACAUACCAAAAUAUAAUGAAACCAAUAACACACUAUGGAAAAUAAAUCUAGUUCAGUAACGCUCGAUUUACAGAGAUGAUAAGUUUAUAUUGGCUAAACUAUAAUGUAAGUUUGAAUAUUUUUUUUUUUUUUUUUUUUGACAGCAAUGUAAGUUUGAUUAAAAUGGCAAUUUUGAUGAUAAAAAAAUUAAUGUGGAUUAUUUUGAAAAAUAUGGAUGUACGUACAUACAUUAUUGACGUGGAACGUAUGCGAUUUUUUCUUAUACGAAGAUUAUUUUUUCUCUCAAAUUAAU
rnacentral:lncRNA from 1 species